rnacentral:rRNA from 1 species
UACAGAGGUCCCGAGCGUUGUUCGGAUUUACUGGGCGUAAAGGGUGCGUAGGUGGCGUCUUAAGUCGGGUGUGAAAUCUCCGGGCUCAACCCGGAGGGUGCGCCCGAAACUGGGAUGCUGGAGGGUGGGAGGGGAGACUGGAAUUCUCGGUGUAGCAGUAAAAUGCGUAGAUAUCAAAAAAAACACCGGUGGCGAAGGCGAGUCUCUGGACCACUCCUGACACUGAGGCACGAAAGCCGGGGGAGCAAACAGG